rnacentral:rRNA from 1 species
UGUCUAUUAAUUGUAGACCAGUAUGAAAGGCAAAAUGAGGGUUUAACUGUCUCUUAUAAUCAAUCAAUUAAACUGAUCUCCCAGUAAAAAAGCUGGUAUACCCACAUAAGACCAGAAGACCCUGUGAAGCUUAAACUAAACUAUUAAACCUUAUAAUAGCUACUUUCGGUUGGGGCGACCUUGGAAAAAAAAAGAACUUCCAAACACUAUGAUUAUAACUCAUACACCUUAGGCCAACAAGCCCACUAACGACCCAGCAUAGCUGAUAACUGAACCAAGUUACUCCAGGGAUAACAGCGCUAUCUUCUUCAAGAGCCCAUAUCAAAAAGAAGGUUUACGACCUCGAUGUUGGAUCAGGACAUCCUAAUGGUGCA